GACGUAGGAGGCGAGCGUUAUCCGGAUUCACUGGGCGUAAAGCGCAUGUAGGCGGAUGUCUAAGUCGUGUGUUAAAGCCCCUGGCUCAACUGGGGGAGGUCAUGCGAGACUGGAUGACUUGAGGGCAACAGAGGCACGUGGAACUCCCGGUGUAGCGGUGGAAUGCGUAGAGAUCGGGAAGAACACCCGUGGCGAAGGCGGCGUGCUGGGCAGUUGCUGACACUGAGGCGCGGACAGCGUGGGGAGCAAACAGG
rnacentral:rRNA from 1 species